rnacentral:rRNA from 1 species
GACGAACGCUGGCGGCGUGCUUAACACAUGCAAGUCGAACGGAAAGGCCCUGCUUUUGUGGGGUGCUCGAGUGGCGAACGGGUGAGUAACACGUGAGUAACCUGCCCUUGACUUUGGGAUAACUUCAGGAAACUGGGGCUAAUACCGGAUAGGAGCUCCUGCUGCAUGGUGGGGGUUGGAAAGUUUCGGCGGUUGGGGCUGGACUCGCGGCUUAUCAGCUUGUUGGUGGGGUAGUGGCUUACCAAGGCUUUGACGGGUAGCCGGCCUGAGAGGGUGACCGGCCACAUUGGGACUGAGAGACGGCCCAGACUCCUACGGGAGGCAGCAGGGGGGAAUAUUGCACAAUGGGCGGAAGCCUGAUGCAGCAACGCCGCGUGCGGGAUGACGGCCUUCGGGUUGUAAACCGCUUUCGCCUGUGACGAAGCGUGAGUGACGGUAAUGGGUAAAGAAGCACCGGCUAACUACGUG